rnacentral:tRNA from 1 species
GCAAUAGUAGCUCAGCACCAGAGCCCCAGUCUUGUAAACCGGACGUCGGAGGUUAAAAUCCCCCCUAUUGCU